UACGUAGGGCGCAAGCGUUAUCCGGAAUUAUUGGGCGUAAAGAGCUCGUAGGCGGUUUGUCGCGUCUGCUGUGAAAGACCGGGGCUCAACUCCGGUUCUGCAGUGGAUACGGGCAGACUAGAGGUAGGUAGGGGAGAAUGGAAUUCCCGGUGUAGCGGUGAAAUGCGCAGAUAUCGGGAGGAACACCGGUGGCGAAGGCGGUUCUCUGGGCCUUACCUGACGCUGAGGAGCGAAAGCGUGGGGAGCGAACAGG
rnacentral:rRNA from 1 species